AGUCCGGGCCUGGGUACAGGAGGCGUAGAGCGAGGGAUCAUUGUCCACAAGUUAAUUGAUCGCAGAUGGAGUCGUGUUCGCGGACGGAUAAAAAAAAAAAGAAAUACCUAAAUAGGUCGUGAAAUAUACUUGGCCGGCCGUUAAUAUACCUGGGCGGCCCGCCCAAGUAAAGUCUAUGUGUGGGAAACCCUGGUAAUGACCUGGGUGUGGCUUUUGAGAUCCCUCAACAAUUGAAGAGUCAGCCCUUCUUUGCCUCCUGCGUUCUAAAGAAUGCAGAGCUGAAGUUCAACUUUGGAGGAGAAGACUUUAAAAAUGCCCCCAAUAGUGGGUUUGUUGCCAUGGACCAGGCGCCAUAGGGCCACGCAGUCAAAUCUACUCAGGCAGGCAGUGCCAAAGUGAGUCAGGUGAAAGCAACAUCCAAUUCACCCAAAGCCCUGAUCAUCGAGCCAUCUAAAUAGUUGGCCGAACAAACCCUCAACAAUGUCAUUUAAUGUAUGAAAUACGUGGAUAACCCCAAACUCAGGAACCUGUUGGUGAUUGGUGGUGUGCCUGCCAAGGACCAGAUGGCUGCUCUGGAACAUGGGGUUGACUAUUGUCGUGGGAACACCCGGAAGACUGGACGACCUCAUAUCCACCGGGAAGCUCAGUCUUUCCCAAGUCCGCUUUCUCGUCCUGGAUGAGUGUGAUGGCCUUCUGACCGCAGGCUAUACAGACUUUAUCAACAGGAUUCAUAACCAAAUCCCUCAGGUCACCUCUGAUGGCAAGAGACUGCAGCUGUGGUCAGAAGCCAUCAAGAUACUAAAGGGCGAGUACACAUUGAGGGCCAUCAAAGAGCACAAGAUGGACCAGGCCAUAAUCUGCCAUCAAGAUCGACUGUGACAACAUGGAACAGUACUUCAUUCAGCAAGGAGGAGGUCCGGACAGUAAAAGCCACCAGUUAGUCCUGACGUUUGUCUCCAUGGUGAUCGUAAGCCCAAUGAGCGUAAGACUAACUUGGAGCGUUUCA